UACGUAGGGGGCGAGCGUUGUCCGGAUUUAUUGGGCGUAAAGAGCUCGUAGGUGGUUUGGUAAGUCGGAUGUGAAAUCUCCAGGCUCAACCUGGAGGGGUCAUUCGAUACUGCCAUGACUAGAGUUCGGGUAGGGAGUGUGGAAUUCCUGGUGUAGCGGUGGAAUGCGCAGAUAUCAGGAGGAACACCGGUGGCGAAGGCGGGUCUCUGGGCAGUAACUGACGCUGAGGAGCGAAAGCGUGGGGAGCGAACAGG
rnacentral:rRNA from 1 species